UGAGCAAUCUGCCCUUCUCAUCGGAAUAAGCGUUGGAAACGACGUCUAAUGCCGAAUACGACCUCCUUUCGCAUGAUCGGAGGUGGAAAGCUCCGGCGGAGAAGGAUGAGCUCGCGGCCUAUCAGCUAGUUGGUGUGGGUAAUGGCUCACCAAGGCUUCGACGGGUAGCCGGCCUGAGAGGGCGACCGGCCACACUGGGACUGAGACACGGCCCAGACUCCGUAGGA
rnacentral:rRNA from 1 species